rnacentral:RNase_P_RNA from 2 species
AAGAUGGAUUGGAUGAUCGCCGUCCCGCCUUUGGCGGGAGGGAGGAAAGUCCGGACACCGGUUCCGACUUGUCGGAACCAUGCGCAGUGGGUAACGCCCACCGGGUACGCCGCGAGGCGUGCCAAGGGAAAGUGCCACAGAGACUAUACUAGUCCCGACUUGUCGGGAUGAAACGUGAAAAGUAUGCCGAGGUAACGGAUUCGUUUUAUCAGCUGAUUAACGAAACUCGCGCGCCACGGCAUUUCUUGUCGGGAAGUGCCGCUCGAGCCGGCCGGUAACGGUCGGCCUAGAUAAAUGAUCGUCCACGACAGAAUCCGGCUUAUAGAUCCGUCUUGAUA